UUGGAGGGCAAGUCUGGUGCCAGCAGCCGCGGUAAUUCCAGCUCCAAUAGCGUAUAUUAAAGUUGUUGCAGUUAAAAAGCUCGUAGUUGAACUUCGGGGUCUACCCAUUGGUCAGGCUUAAUUGUCUGCACUGGUGAGAUGGAUCUCUACCUUCUGAGGAACUUUCAUGCCAUUUAUUUGGUGUGGUUGGAAAUCAGGACUGUUACUUUGAAAAAAUUAGAGUGUUUAAAGCAGACUAUCGUCUGAAUACAUUGCAUGGAAAUAAUGAAAUAGGACGGACUGAUUCUAUUUCGUUGGUUUCUAGGAUCACCGGUAAUGAUUAAUAGGGAUAGUUGGGGGCAUUAGUAUUCAAUUGUCAGAGGUGAAAUUCUUGGAUUUAUUGAAGACUACUACUGCGAAAGUCAUUGGCCAGGAUGUUUUCAUAAUUCAGAACGAAAGUAAGGAAUCGAGACGAAUCAGAUACCUCGUAGUCUAACCGUAACUAGUGCCGGACUUGGGAUCGGACGCUAGUUAUUUUUAUAAUAGACUCGUUCU
rnacentral:rRNA from 1 species